AGGAUUAACGCUAGCGGCAGGCCUAAUACAUGCAAGUCGAGGGGUAACAGGGUAGCAAUACUGCUGACGACCGGCGCACGGGUGAGUAACACGUAUGUAACCUACCUAUAACUGGGGAAUAGCCUUCCGAAAGGAAGAUUAACACCGCAUAACAUCACGAUUCGGCAUCGUUUCGUGAUCAAACCUCCGGGGGUUAUAGAUGGACAUGCGUAACAUUAGCUAGUUGGUGAGGUAACGGCUCACCAAGGCGACGAUGUUUAGGGGGUCUGAGAGGAUGAUCCCCCACACUGGUACUGAGACACGGACCAGACUCCUACGGGAGGCAGCAGUAAGGAAUAUUGGACAAUGGGGGCAACCCUGAUCCAGCCAUGCCGCGUGAAGGAUGAAGGCGCUCUGCGUCGUAAACUUCUUUUACUCGAGAAAAAUUGUUGGGUUUCUACCCGACUUGAUUGUACCGUAGAGAAUAAGGACCGGCUAACUUCGCGCAGCAGCGCGGU
rnacentral:rRNA from 1 species